GGAUUAGAUACCCUGGUAGUCCACGCCGUAAACGAUGGAUACUCGGUGUUCGACCAAUUGAGGUUGAGUGCCCAAGGGAAACCGCUAAGUAUCCCACCUGGGGAGUACGUCCGCAAGGAUGAAACUCAAAGGAAUUGACGGGGGCCCGCACAAGCGGUGGAGCAUGUGGUUUAAUUCGAUGAUACGCGAGGAACCUUACCUGGGCUCUAAUGCCUCGGACACCCCUUGAAAGAGGGUUUUCCUUCGGGACCGAGUGCAAGGUGCUGCAUGGUUGUCGUCAGCUCGUGCCG
rnacentral:rRNA from 1 species